rnacentral:rRNA from 1 species
UAAUACGGAGGUGGCAAGCGUUGUUCGGAUUGAUUGGGUGUAAAGGGCAUGUAGGCGUCCUGGUAAGUCGAGCGUGAAAUCCCGUAGCUCAACUGCGGAACUGCAUUCGGAACUGCCAGGAUUGAGUACGGAAGGGGAGAAUGGAAUUCCCGGUGUAAGGGUGAAAUCUGUAGAUAUCGGGAGGAACGCCAGUGGCGAAGGCGGUUCUCUGGGCCGAUACUGACGCUGAAAUGCGAAAGCUAGGGGAGCAAACAGGAUUAGAUACCCUGGUAGUCCUAGCCGUAAACGAUGGGCACUAGGUGUAGGCUUGUAAAAGUCUGUGCCGCAGUUAACGCAUUAAGUGCCCCACCUGGGGAGUACGUCGGCAACGAUG